UCAGAUACGUGAUGCCACCACUCUGUGUUGUUCUUGUGCUUUUCAGCAAAGUCUAUGGUCUGCUUGGGAAUAUAAUUCAGCCUGACACGCUGGUGCGAGCUCAGAUCGGAGACACUGUGACUCUCCCAUGCUCCUACUCUAAAAACUUUUAUGAUAUCAGUUGGUAUAAGCAGCCUCUUGGACAGAAGAUUCAGCACAUUGCAGUGCAAGUUGGAAAAGACAAGGAUACUCAAUUGUUCAAUGAGUUUGAAAACAGUAAACGCUUCAGUGCUAAAGCAGAGAAGGGGAGCUUUAACCUGACUGUGUCACGAGUAGAGCCAUCAGAUUCAGCCACAUACCACUGCGCUAUGAUGCCCUACAGUGAGACCAUCUUUGGAGAUGGAACAACUUUAAUGGUGAUGGGUUCAGAGUCACACAACAGGACAGUAGUACUGCAGCAGCCCGAGUCUGAGUCAGUGCAGCCAGGAGACUCUGUGACUCUGCAGUGUACAGUACACACUGAGACCUGUGCAGGAGAACACAGUGUGUACUGGUUCAGACAGGGCUCAGGAG